AUUCAGUUAUUAGUAGCUGUGUAAUUCAUUAAACUAAACCUUCAAAUGCGGAAGGAACUUAUUUAAUUGGUCAAAUUUCAUGUGAUAUCUCUUCACAAGCUUUGGCGAUGUA